AUUGAACGCUGGCGGCAGGCCUAACACAUGCAAGUCGAGCGGAUGAAGGGAGCUUGCUCCUGGAUUCAGCGGCGGACGGGUGAGUAAUGCCUAGGAAUCUGCCUGGUCGUGGGGGAUAACGUCCGGACACGGGCGCUAAUACCGCAUACGUCCUGAGGGAGAAAGUGGGGGAUCUUCGGACCUCACGCUAUCAGAUGAGCCUAGGUCGGAUUAGCUAGUUGGUGGGGUAAAGGCCUACCAAGGCGACGAUCCGUAACUGGUCUGAGAGGAUGAUCAGUCACACUGGAACUGAGACACGGUCCAGGCUCCUACGGGAGGCAGCAGUGGGGAAUAUUGGACAAUGGGCGAAAGCCUGAUCCAGCCAUGCCGCGUGUGUGAAGAAGGUCUUCGGAUUGUAAAGCACUUUUAGUUGGGAGGAAGGGCAGUAAGUUAAUACCUUGCUGUUUUGACGUUACCAACAGAAUAAGCACCGGCUAACUUCGUG
rnacentral:rRNA from 1 species